UGAGUAACACGUGAGCAAUCUGCCCCCGACUCUGGGAUAAGCGUUGGAAACGACGUCUAAUACCGGAUACGACACCUCCUGGCAUCAGGUGGGUGUGGAAAGAAUUUCGGUUGGGGAUGAGCUCGCGGCCUAUCAGCUUGUUGGUGAGGUAAUGGCUCACCAAGGCGACGACGGGUAGCCGGCCUGAGGGGGUGACCGGCCACACUGGGACUGAGACACGGCCCAGACUCCUACGGGAGGCAGCAGUGGGGAAUAUUGCACAAUGGGCGCAAGCCUGAUGCAGCAACGCCGCGUGGGGGACGAAGGCCUUCGGGUUGUAAACCCCUUUUAGCAGGGAAGAAGCGCAAGUGACGGUACCUGCAGAAAAAGCACCGGCUAACUACGUGCCAGCAGCCGCGGUAAUACGUAGGGUGCAAGCGUUGUCCGGAAUUAUUGGGCGUAAAGAGCUCGUAGGCGGUGUGUCACGUCUGCUGUGAAAAUCCGAGGCUCAACCUCGGACCUGCAGUGGGUACGGGCACACUAGAGUGCGGUAGGGGAGAUUGGAAUUCCUGGUGUAGCGGUGGAAUG
rnacentral:rRNA from 1 species